GUCGAUUCCGCCAGGCGCUCUUCACCUGGAAGAGCCCCGACUCUCACCGAUUUUAGAUGAAGCUCCUCCCUGUGCUUUAGGGGAUGAGCGACCACUGGUUCUCCAGGUUCCGGUCGGGAUCCGGCCUUACUUCAUGCUCUCUUCAGCUUUACCUGGUGCUUCUAAUUUCUGAGCCUUACGAAGGGUUUUGCUAUGUAUACCAGGUUGCUUCAUGGCCCGCUUGGGAUUCCUGCUUCUCAAGUCUACUAAGAUCCAAGACAUACAUGUAAAUGAAUACAAUGAAUAAAAAUAACACCUGGGAAGUUUCAAGUUGAACUCUGUGAUCCUAUGAAUAAGGCUGACCACAAGUCCAGUGAGUGGAGCCUGCUGUUAAUUGACUCUUACAGUAGAUGGCAAGGAGGAAAACAUCUAUACUUGGAGUCCCAAGGUAAUGAGCAAAUUAUUCUAUGUAACAGAAGAGUGGCCCAUUUGGAGAUAACUGUACUAAUGGGACCCAUAUGAUGCAAAUGAGAGUUAUCAGGAUGAGAAAUAACUUUCUAGCUGUAAGGAGCUCCAUCUUUCCGUCACUCUGGUGUCUGCUCAGAGACCUUGGUGUAGAGGUUGCACCCUGAAGAGAGUGCUGGUAAUGUGAAGGUGGUCAGGGAGCUGGAGAGUCCUUCUCAUUGCUUAUCCUCUUCAGAAUCCACUUACUUUCCCCUGAAGUUGAUAUAUUGCCAGCAUCUUCUUUUCAGAUCUGCAGAACAUGCAGAAUGAGGUCAUUGUGUACAUGGUCCUUAUGGGAAGCUGAAGAGUCAUCCUCAUCGCUGCUGAGAUUUUCCAGAAUCCACUCAAGAUUAUGUGAAGUUGACAUACGGGAACCAUCUUCGUCCUCAUCCAUUGAUUUGCCAGAUGUUAUGCUGAGAACUUCAGGAGCAGCUGAAGAGUCUUCAUCCUUAUAGUUGCCUUCAUAAAUGAUGUCCAGAGGAGAUGUGUAUUCCAUGUUUUUGAGGCUGUCUUGGUCUUCCAUGGGGCUUUCUCCAAUGCCCUGCAACAAGGAAACUGCUUCAGUAUGUUCUCAACAGAAAGAUUUUCAUUUGCUUUUGAGUCCACCGUGACCACAGAUGAGGCCUCCUUUUCUGACCUGUCACUUGGAAAAUCCAAUACCUGAUCUUCAUUGGAAGUUUCAAUGAAUUGUUCCUUAGCAUGUACUCUGUUAUGUGGCCAGAUGGUUUUGACCCACUGCUCAGGGCAGGCAGCAUAUCUUCUGGACCACUGAGGAUACGUUUCUCACAGAUGCAACUAUCUGGGGUUGGUGUCACAGGUUGUAGAGGAAUUUACCAAGACAGUUGUAGGUAAAGAAAGGCAGAUUUAUUAAAGAAAGUAUGAAAAUAUGUUGCAAAAUUGCAAUAGGCAGCACAGCAGAGAAGGGGCUAUCUGCAAAGAGGCAGGGGUGGAAGGGAAGUUUUAUAGGGUUGUACUGCAUAGGGCUGUGUGCAGAAUGAGGCUAUUGUGUGGAAUGAGGUCAUCUCUCAGAACAAUUGUUUAUUAUUCUUCCCUACCUGGGGCCUUUCCCUACCUGAGGCCCCUUCCUCAUUGUUGCUUACUUAUCAGGAAUCAACAUUCCCCCAUGACAGAAUAGCAAUGACAGAUUUUUGGCAUUGGAGUAGAGGUCUCAUGUUUCAACUGCUUCCUGUUGACCAGGGGCAUAGAGUUAACCCUACCUGUGGUUGUUGGUCUAUCAGGAAACCCUGUGAGCCAUUUCCCUGGGUUGUGGGACCUAGGAUAUUGGAUCAUGCUGGAGGAAGGCAUUCAUCAGAGAGGGGGAGCAUGUCUA